CUCACCGCAAUUCCUCUCUAUUUGAAUCUUGUUCUUUUUCCCCUUUCUCUUCUCCUCCUUCUGCCGCCGCACCGCCACCGCUGCUGACCGCCGCGUUCAUUGAUUUCGACGACCCUCUUCCAACCAUACAUAUGAGGCUGCAACUUUCUUUUCCCCUGCCCCAUCUCUCUUCGGAGAUCGCUCACCCUUUCCCCCUUUGUUGAGGUACCAAUCCAUGAAUUUAUAAACAUAUGAUUGAUGAUAAACAUGAAUGUUAUUUAAGUUUGUUUACUUAUAUAUGUUAUAUUUGAUUUGUUUAGAGAAAAUUGUGGUUGAUCAUGAAUCUGCAUCUAUAGACUAUAUGUCUGUUUGUUAGAAUUUCAGAAUUUUAAUAUGUGGAGCUUUGUUGGACGUGGUCGGUCAACGCGCUCAGACUGAAAUCGAAGACCUUCAGAUUGCCGUUCUCGUCC
rnacentral:lncRNA from 1 species